CCUACGGGUGGCAGCAGUGGGGAAUAUUGCGCAAUGGGCGAAAGCCUGACGCAGCGACGCCGCGUGAGGGAUGAAGGUCUUCGGAGCGUAAACCCCCGUCAGCAGGGAAGAACGGUCACUGUGCUAAUCAGCAGUGAAUUGACGGUACCUGCAAAGGAAGCACCGGCUAACUCCGUGCCAGCAGCAGCGGUAAGACGGAGGGUGCGAGAGUUAAGCGGAAUUACUGGGCGUAAAGCGCUCGUAGGCGGUUUGUCAAGUCAAGGGUGAAAUCCCCGCGGUUAACGUGGGAACUGCCUUUGAAACGGGGAAACUGGAGUGUGUGAGAGGAUAGUGGAAUUCCAGGUGUAGGAGUGAAAUCCGUAGAUAUCUGGAGGAACAUCAGUGGCGAAGGCGACUAUCUGGCACAUAACUGACGCUGAGGAGCGAAAGCGUGGGUAGCAAACAGGAUUAGAUACCCGGGUAGUC
rnacentral:rRNA from 1 species